rnacentral:rRNA from 1 species
GAUGAACGCUGGCGGCGUGCCUAAUACAUGCAAGUCGAGCGAACGACCGGAAACUUUGCUUCUUGGUGGUUGGGGGGGGAGGGGGGGGAAACAGGUGAAAACCCAACUUAAAAAACGGGAAAAACUCGGGAAACCGGGACCAAAACCGGAAAAAUAUUUUGAACCCAAGGGUUAAAAGGGAAAGAAGGUCUUGGUGGUACUUAUAGAUGGAUCCCCGCUGCCUUAGCUAGUUUGUUAGGUAACGGCUUACCAAGGCAACGAUUGAUAGCCGACCUGAGAGGGUGAUCGGCCACACUGGAACUGAGACACGGUCCAGACUCCUACGGGAGGCAGCAGUAGGGAAUCUUCCGCAAUGGGCGAAAGCCUGACGGAGCAACGCCGCGUGAGUGAUGAAGGUCUUCGGAUCGUAAAACUCUGUUAUUAGGGAAGAACAUAUGUGUAAGUAACUGUGCACAUCUUGACGGUACCUAAUCAGAAAGCCACGGCUAACUACGUG